rnacentral:rRNA from 1 species
AGUGAACGCUGGCGGUAGGCCUAACACAUGCAAGUCGAACGGCAGCACAGUAAGAGCUUGCUCUUACGGGUGGCGAGUGGCGGACGGGCGAGGAAUACAUCGGAAUCUACUUUUUCGUGGGGGAUAACGUAGGGAAACUUACGCUAAUACCGCAUACGACCUACGGGUGAAAGCAGGGGAUCUUCGGACCUUGCGCGAUUGAAUGAGCCGAUGUCGGAUUAGCUAGUUGGCGGGGUAAAGGCCCACCAAGGCGACGAUCCGUAGCUGGUCUGAGAGGAUGAUCAGCCACACUGGAACUGAGACACGGUCCAGACUCCUACGGGAGGCAGCAGUGGGGAAUAUUGGACAAUGGGCGCAAGCCUGAUCCAGCCAUACCGCGUGGGUGAAGAAGGCCUUCGGGUUGUAAAGCCCUUUUGUUGGGAAAGAAAAGCAGCAGGUUAAUACCCCGCUGUUCUGACGGUACCCAAAGAAUAAACACCGGCGAACUUCGU